UCCCUGGUGGCUUAGCAGUCAAAGAUCCAGCAUUGUCACUGCUGCAGCCCAGGUUCAAUCCCUGGCCCAGGAA
rnacentral:tRNA from 1 species